rnacentral:tRNA from 1 species
CGUCUGUCUCGCUCAUGGGUGGCUCCUCGUCUUUCGGCGGUGGGCGGGGUGCGGCAUGCGUCGCGCUGCCGGCUGUCCCACGCGGCCGGGAGUUGA